rnacentral:rRNA from 1 species
GACGAACGCUGGCGGCGUGCUUAACACAUGCAAGUCGAACGGAAAGGCCCUGCUUUUGUGGGGUGCUCGAGUGGCGAACGGGUGAGUAACACGUGAGUAACCUGCCCUUGACUUUGUGAUAACUUCAGGAAACUGGGGCUAAUACCGGAUAUGAGCUCCUGCUGCAUGGUGUGGGUUGGAAAGUUUCGGCGGUUGGUGAUGGACUCGCGGCUUAUCAGCUUGUUGGUGGGGUAGUGGCUUACCAAGGCUUUGACGGGUAGCCGGCCUGUGAGGGUGAACGGCAACAUUGGGACUGAGAUACGGCCCAGAAUGCUACGGGAGGCAGCAGUGGGGAAUAUUGCACAAUGGGCGGAAGCCUGAUGCAGCAACGCAGCGUGCGGGAUGACGGCCUUCGGGUUGUAAACCGCUUUCGAAUGUGACGAAGCGUGAGUGACGGUAAUGGGUAAAGAAGCAACGGCUAACUACGUG